rnacentral:piRNA from 1 species
UGAUAUCAAAGUUCUCAACAAGCUGGUC